rnacentral:rRNA from 1 species
UACAGAGGUCUCAAGCGUUGUUCGGAUUCAUUGGGCGUAAAGGGUGCGUAGGCGGCGCGGUAAGUCGGGUGUGAAAUCUCGGAGCUUAACUCCGAAACUGCAUUCGAUACUGCCGUGCUUGAGGACUGGAGAGGAGACUGGAAUUUACGGUGUAGCGGUGAAAUGCGUAGAUAUCGUAAGGAAGACCAGUGGCGAAGGCGGGUCUCUGGGCCGAUACUGACGCUGGAGGCGCGAAAGCGUGGGGAGCAAACAGG